AGAGUUUGAUCCUGGCUCAGAUUGAACGCUGGCGGAACGCUUUACACAUGCAAGUCGAACGGUAACGUGGGGAGGAGCUUGCUCCACCCCGACGACGAGUGGCGAACGGGUGAGUAAUACAUCGGAACGUGUCCGCUCGUGGGGGACAACCAGCCGAAAGGUUGGCUAAUACCGCAUGAGUUCUACGGAAGAAAGAGGGGGACCCGCAAGGGCCUCUCGCGAGCGGAGCGGCCGAUGACUGAUUAGCCUGUUGGUGAGGUAACGGCUCACCAAAGCAACGAUCAGUAGCUGGUCUGAGAGGACGACCAGCCACACUGGGACUGAGACACGGCCCAGACUCCUACGGGAGGCAGCAGUGGGGAAUUUUGGACAAUGGGCGCAAGCCUGAUCCAGCUAUUCCGCGUGUGGGAUGAAGGCCCUCGGGUUGUAAACCACUUUUGUAGAGAACGAAAAGACAUCUUCGAAUAAAGGAUGUUGCUGACGGUACUCUAAGAAUAAGCACCGGCUAACUACGUGCCAGCAGCCGCGGUAAUACGUAGGGUGCGAGCGUUAAUCGGAAUUACUGGGCGUAAAGGGUGCGCAGGCGGUUGAGUAAGACAGAUGUGAAAUCCCCGAGCUUAACUCGGGAAUGGCAUAUGUGACUGCUCGACUAGAGUGUGUCAGAGGGAGGUGGAAUUCCACGUGUAGCAGUGAAAUGCGUAGAUAUGUGGAAGAACACCGAUGGCGAAGGCAGCCUCCUGGGACAUAACUGACGCUCAGGCACGAAAGCGUGGGGAGCAAACAGGAUUAGAUACCCUGGUAGUCCACGCCCUAAACGAUGUUAACUAGUUGUUGGGAUGUAACAAUCUCAGUAACGCAGCCAACGCGAGAAGUUAACCGCCUGGGAAGUACGGUCGCAAGACUAAAACUCAAAGGAAUUGACGGGGACCCGCACAAGCGGUGGAUGAUGUGGAUUAAUUCGAUGCAACGCGAAAAACCUUACCUACCCUUGACAUGUCAGGAAGCUCUUGUAAUGAGAGCGUGCCCGCAAGGGAGCCUGAACACAGGUGCUGCAUGGCU
rnacentral:rRNA from 1 species